rnacentral:tRNA from 1 species
GCGCGGGUGGCGGAACUGGCAGACGCGCUACUUUGAGGUGGUAGUGUCCGUAAGGACUUGCAGGUUCGACUCCUGUCCCGCGCA